GGCUUAUCUUUCAAGAAACAGAAAGAUUUAAGCGAGCACAGGUUCUUUCCCUAAACUGAGAACUGAUGGCUCAUGUCUGGUAAGAGUCUGUCUCAGUGGGGUUUUGACCAGCAGCUCAAAAGUCCAAAGUAAGGGAAAGAGGGACAGAGCCUGUCUUCUCCCGAGAAGGCUUAGCAGGUGGACUGCAAAGGUUCUGUCCAAGCCUGAGCUCCCUCUGGGAUUGUAGUUCCAAAAGGCUUUGCGAAGGAAGAAGAGUUGUAGAAAUGAGUUAAAAGAUGACAGUGCAAUGAUCGCGCAGAAUCCAGUAUGAGUCCUCAGCCCAAAGGAACUGUAAGUCUCCACUGGAAACCUCACCCCGCCUCCCCCGCUCGGGGCCUCACCUCCGACCCGGACUUAAGAUGAUGCACAUGCAUCAAAACCCCAAGAGCAAGGGACCCAGCCUUUGCCUGUAACUGUGGGGGCUGCCAAGCCGGGAAAGAAAUCUAAGCCACAUGUGCCGGGGGUUUCGCCUGCUCCGAGGGACACAGGGACAGCGCGGGAAGGGAAGUAACCUCCAGUCAAUGACCACCAGAGCCGGACGUGAGGAGGUGCAGACCUUUGCCAAAGGAGCCUGUCAGAAGAACCAUCCAGAAAAACUAUGAAUUCACACCUUCAUGCCAAUUCUUGAGUCCUAAUUCUAGAAACAAGGUCAGAGUUAAAGAAAAAAAGGAAGAGCUCAACAAUGGGAUAGAAACCCAGGUUAAAGACCAGACAGCCCCUCCCAAGAAGAAGCACUGCAUUAAAGGAAUUCAGUUAUCACACAACAAUGUGUGAGGAAUUCUCCUGUGAUUUUCUAAGUCCCUUUGCAGGUCCCUCCACCACUUCGUACACAUCAGCUCACCUUUUCAGAAAUUACUUAGGAGAAACCCCAGGUACUGCGCAGGACAGGCAGGCUGCAGAGAGACCUGACGUCCUUAUGGGUUCACACCCCUCAUCCUCAGCUGGGUGCUUCCCGCUGCUUGCUGUGGUUGCUUGCCUCCAUCACACCUGCAUCCCCCGUUGUCCUCAUGUACACAAGUGGGGCCCCGGAGAUCUGUGAGGCCAGUGGAGGGCUGCAGUUCAACCCCCAAACUCCAUAUUCAUGGAAGCCGCUGCCAACUCCUAACCCUCCUGCACCUCCA